GACGAACGCUGGCGGCGUGCUUAACACAUGCAAGUCGAACGGAAAGGCCCUGCUUUUGUGGGGUGCUCGAGUGGCGAACGGGUGAGUAACACGUGAGUAACCUGCCCUUGACUUUGGUAUAACUUCAGGAAACUGGGGCUAAUACCGGAUAGGAUCUCCUGCUGCAUGGUGGGGGUUGGAAAUUUUCGGCGGUUGGGGAUGGACUCGCGGCUUAUCAGCUUGUUGGUGGGGUAGUGGCUUACCAAGGCUUUGACGGGUAGCCGGCCUGAGAGGGUGACCGGCCACAUUGGGACUGAGAUACGGACCAGACUCCUACGGGAGGCAGCAGUGGGGAAUAUUGCACAAUGGGCGGAAGCCUGAUGCAGCAACGCCGCGUGCGGGAUGACGGCCUUCGGGUUGUAAACCGCUUUCGCCUGUGACGAAGCGUGAGUGACGGUAAUGGGUAAAGAAGCACCGGCUAACUACGUG
rnacentral:rRNA from 1 species